UUUGAGCCAAGCCGCGUGUUUAACUCAGACAUGUGGUUCUUGCUGUGUGUUAUCUCACUUAAAUACAUAAUCCCUGCAAAAUUUGAUAUACUGAAAUGAAUUAAUGUGAUUUAGUAAUUUCAGAGCUAUUGGCGGGACCAUUUGUUUCUUGAAACAAAAGCGACUUCGCCACUUUAGAUUCCAGUCUGUUAAGCUGCAAACCUUGAGAACAAUGUAGGAAACAAUGGCUACAUUAGCUGUGUAGAAGCCUCGUGCAAAAGCUGCUUCAAGGUGCAAGUAUGUAUGCUACCACUAGUCUGAAAAUUGUGGUGUUACCAAUAUUUGUGUAUCUAAACUAUUUCCAGCUGGAGAAGAAAUGACACAUGCAGUAAUUAGAGGUAGCAAUAACAUUGGGUUUUAAGUGGCUUUAUUGUCAGUUUUAUUUUCUGUGUGGAGCUCAUAGACCUUCCAUUUAUUAAACACGAUU